rnacentral:lncRNA from 1 species
CCGCGGCCGAGCCGGCCAAACUCAAGUUGGUUCAGGGAAUUGUCAACAAAGGGACGAGAGACGCGCAACUCCGCUCCGCACUGUGCGCCAGCAUCCCCGGGGCACGGAGGGCGCUGCGGCCCGCCCGGAGACCCCCCCACCCAGGCUGGAUCCGGGCCCUGGGGCCCAGGGAGCGGGUGGGUGUGAGUGUGGGUGGGUGUGAGCGAGUCAGGGCGUGGGCCUGGGAGCGUCCGCGGGACUGUGCGACUGUCGCUGCCCUGCCUUCCCCGCCCCCUCUCCCUUCCGCCCUUCUCCCCCCCACUUUGUCACACUCCUUAGACAGGGACUGGGCGACCUAGAACGAGGUUCCCAUAUCGUGUUUUAAAAAGCAAAACUUAGUCUCUGUUUUGCUUUUUGUUUCAUUGUUUUUAGCUUUAAAGAGUAAGAGCAGCGCACCCGGCUCCCUCCUGCUAAUUAGAUUUCAGAUUCCCCUCUGGCCUCAGUGCUCAUUCCGGGGAAGACACCUGCUGAGAUGUCUUUUUCCCCCUCCCCCAACCAAACCACUCAGGUCCUACCUGCUCUUUCCCGGCUUGAUGCGGGCGUGUUUUCCUGUAUGUAUUUUUUCGUGCGGCCACAAAAAGCAUCAGCUGGGGUUCCCGAAGGUCAGAAAAUGGCUAUUGAUUAAUCUACUAGAAUAGUUGCCGAGAGAAAUAAAAACGACGUAAAAUAGCAGGGAACCUAUAAAUAAAGAAGCCAUAACUGGCUACUUGGAGUUGUUAAACGACUUAGCAUAUGAAAAAAUCGGAAAUGAGGCGCUGGGGAAGGAGCUGGGAUUGGCAGCGGCCUGGGUGUGGACAAAUCCUCCAAGAUUUAACUUCCAAGAAAACCGGCGGCGGAGCGGGUGGAGGAGGCGAGGAUGUGUGGCCAAUGCACGCGGAGUGCAAGGCCGCCUAGUUGGGAGCCGCAAGAGCCUGCCUGGUGUGGCAGGCACACGGAACCCAAUCCCUGUCUGUCCGCUGCGGCCUGGGAGGGGAGCGCCGGCCUCACCAGAGGAAGGAGCACGAGGGGAGGAGUUCCGAGAGGAAAUAAUUAGUGAAAUAUUUGCAGAAGAUGCUGGGAUGUGGAUUUAAUUCCGGAUGGACAGUGGUGCUUCUGAUUCCCUCAGUCUGUUUCCCCACCCACGAUCUCCUCUUUCCUUGGCCUAGACACACCAAAAAUAAUUCAAUAAAAUAAAAAUAAAAAUUUAAAAA